AAGGGAUUGUUCCUUCUCACUCUGCCCCUGUGAGGCACUUCAUCCAGGCCUGGGGACCCCAGCACAAGAAAGAUGUGGAGCUGUUGGAGUGGGUACAGAGGAGAGCCACAAAUAUGAUUAGAGGACUGAAGCACCUCUACUAUGAAGACAGGCUGAAGCUUGGGGUUUUAAGCUAAAAGAGUGUAGACUUAGAAGAGACAUCAACCUGGUCUCAUAGCUGGCAAUUCUAACCACAGCAAGGGCGGAGAACACUGCUCAAACUAAUGUGCCAUGGGACUGCUGGAGCAUUGGGAAGACUAACCCAGAGGAGGGAAUUACACUGUAUUAGGCCUCCACCUCGGUUUGCCAGCGGGAUUCAAGACUAAAACCUGAAAGGUCUUCUUGCCUCCAUCGUAAUUUUUCAUGCUGGCCGCUUCUCCGGCUUGUUUAUACAUUUCUGUGAGCUGUGAUUGCGGCACACCCAGCCCGGAGCAGCAUCGAAGCACAGAGCAGCGAUCUGUAAGUGGGCUGUGCCACCUAGCGGUGCACAUCGUACAGCCGGAGCCGUUCGGGAGGGGUUUGUGCCAGAAAUUAACAUCUCCUCUCUCAUAAAUAUCAACUUGUUAAACUUUGACGUCGGUUUUAAAAGGCGGAAGAUUAAAAUGUGUGCCUCCAUCUCCAAAACGCGGUAAUUAAAAAAAAAACCCACAGGUGCUGUUUUAAUGAUGCUGGUUCUUAAGUCUUGCGGGCUAAACAAAUGCAGCUUGUUGUUAACUAAUUAUGUUGUCUUUAUUUGCCGAUUUUACAAAUUCAAAUGUCCUGAACAAACAAAAUCAUUAUCGCAGAUUUCUUCCCCGUACCUUCUGCCUCCAACCAUCUGAUGCCCAAUGCUGCAAUUUUGUUACACCGAGCAGCAUCCAGUGUGUCCCCAGCAGAACCCUCUGCACCAGACCACAAUUUGGUUUGCUAAUCCCUUCCCAAGCCAAACCAGGAGUGUUCUCUCCGUCCCCACUAACAAUGUCUAAUAGUGAUUUUGAAAGGCUUGAACUUGUCUCCCUGUGUUUUCUUUUCAACACAUAUCUUAAUUAACAGGGGAACGCGCAUCAUUCAGACAGCACCUCUAAGAAAGGAGUUAAUUUCCCACUUGUUCUCAGCAAGCAGCUGGCAAGCCAACUUCUCUUGUGAAGAAUCAUAGAAUCAGAAUGGCUUAGGCUGGAGGGAUUUAAAGAUGGAGUGCGUAGGCGGG